rnacentral:rRNA from 1 species
UACGAGGGGGGCGAGCGUUUGUUCGGAAUUAUUGGGCGUAAAGGGUGCGUAGGCGGUUUGGUAAGUCUUAUGUGAAAUCUACAGGCUCAACUUGUAGUCUGCAUGAGAAACUGCCGGGCUUGAGUGUGGCAGAGGGAGGUAGAAUUCCACGUGUAGCAGUGAAAUGCGUAGAGAUGUGGAGGAAUACCGAUGGCGAAGGCAGCCUCCUGGGCCAACACUGACGCUCAUGCACGAAAGCGUGGGAGCAAACAGG